rnacentral:lncRNA from 1 species
GUGCCUGUGAGGCAGGACUUAAAGGAGGCGCUGGCCCUCAGGGGCAUGCGAGGGCAGGCCUUCCUCUUUAUAUAGGCUUAGAGAGCCACUACUCGAAGCCAAGCCUUACGUCAGGCAGCAGAGAUACCAAGAUGAGGUUGAAGAAAACACACGGCUUUCUCCACUCAUGGACUCCAAUGAGGAUGGCAACAACAUGGUAAUUAGAAGUCAUUAGCAGAUUGCUCUCAGCAAGUGGAAAGCAGUGAGAAUUCUGAAGCAAGACUUCUCUGGACUUCAGGGAAGUCCCUCUAAGGAAGUGACAUCUAAACUGGAACUCCACUGCCUCUAGGCUGAGACUUGACCUUGUGACUCCAGCCUAGGAUUAUAUAAGGAUGUGACUGACCUUAGAGGAUUUCACGGGAACUUAGCUGUACACGUGGAACCCAUUUAUUUGCUGACACUUCUCAUUUCCUUUCAGAACAAACCUACAUUCCCAGACCUAUAAUUUUCUUGAGAAAAUGGGUUUAUUAUAAGUCACUCAAUAAAACACCCUACCAUG